rnacentral:rRNA from 1 species
AGAGUUUGAUCAUGGCUCAGGACGAACGCUGGCGGCGUGCUUAACACAUGCAAGUCGAGCGGAAAGGCCCUUCGGGGUACUCGAGCGGCGAACGGGUGAGUAACACGUGAGUAACCUGCCCUGGGCUUUGGGAUAACCCUCGGAAACGGGGGCUAAUACCGAAUAUCCACGCGUGACCGCAUGGUUUUGUGUGGAAAGUUUUUUCGGCCUGGGAUGGGCUCGCGGCCUAUCAGCUUGUUGGUGGGGUGAUGGCCUACCAAGGCGACGACGGGUAGCCGGCCUGAGAGGGCGACCGGCCACACUGGGACUGAGACACGGCCCAGACUCCUACGGGAGGCAGCAGUGGGAAUAUUGCACAAUGGGCGGAAGCCUGAUGCAGCGACGCCGCGUGAGGGAUGACGGCCUUCGGGUUGUAAACCUCUUUCAGCAGGGACGAAGUGGUCGGGUUUUCUCGGUCGUGACGGUACCUGCAGAAGAAGCGCCGGCCAACUACGUGCCAGCCGCCGCGGUAAUACA